rnacentral:rRNA from 1 species
GUAAGGAAUAUUGGACAAUGGGGGAAACCCUGAUCCAGCCAUGCCGCGUGAGUGAAGAAGGCCUUCGGGUUGUAAAGCUCUUUCAGAUGUGAAGAUGAUGACGGUAACAUCAGAAGAAGCUCCGGCUAACUUCGUGCCAGCAGCCGCGGUAAUACGAAGGGAGCGAGCGUUGUUCGGAAUCACUGGGCGUAAAGAGUGCGUAGGCGGUUAUACAAGUCAGGAGUGAAAUCCCAGGGCUCAACCCUGGAAUUGCUUUUGAAACUGUAUAGCUAGAGUCCCGGAGGGGUUAAUGGAAUUCCGAGUGUAGAGGUGAAAUUCGCAGAUAUUCGGAGGAACACCAGUGGCGAAGGCGAUUAACUGGACGGGCACUGACGCUGAGGCACGAAAGCGUGGGGAUCAAACAGGAUUAGAUACCCCAGUAGUCC